CUCGACUCGUUACAACACUGACUAAGACUACUGUAAAAAUAUCAAGACAAAAUGUAAAGUCGGUCUGUGUUAACCAGCCCGACCCACUUUAUUACGUGUUCCGCAUACUGCACUAUAAUAUGGGUUACUGAGAAUCGACCAUGCAUUUGUAAGAUGUUGCGACCUUAACAUAGGUGGGAGCAUUACAUUAAUCGAACUGAUAAUCCCAUAUACUUUAAAAAGAAAACCAUUAUGUCUAUUUGAACAACAACAAUUUACAAAUUACAAUGAUCUUGUGAUGGGGUGCGAGUGUGGGACGUGAUAAGUAGAUACGAAGAGUAGGUCAUCGGUCUAUCUGAAACAAGCGAGCAAUUUCCUCGA